UUCAUAAGCGGAGGAAAAGAAACCAACAGGGUAUUGCCCUUAGUAACGGCGAGUGAAGCGGCAAAAGCUCAAAUUUGAAAUCUGGCACCUUCGGUGUCCGAGUUGUAAUUUGAAGAAGGUAACUUUGGAGUUGGCUCUUGUCUAUGUUCCUUGGAACAGGACGUCACAGAGGGUGAGAAUCCCGUGCGAUGAGAUGCCCAAUUCUAUGUAAAGUGCUUUCGAAGAGUCGAGUUGUUUGGGAAUGCAGCUCUAAGUGGGUGGUAAAUUCCAUCUAAAGCUAAAUAUUGGCGAGAGACCGAUAGCGAACAAGUACAGUGAUGGAAAGAUGAAAAGAACUUUGAAAAGAGAGUGAAAAAGUACGUGAAAUUGUUGAAAGGGAAGGGCUUGAGAUCAGACUUGGUAUUUUGCGAUCCUUUCCUUCUUGGUUGGGUUCCUCGCAGCUUACUGGGCCAGCAUCGGUUUGGAUGGUAGGAUAAUGACUAAGGAAUGUGGCUCUACUUCGGUGGAGUGUUAUAGCCUUGGUUGAUACUGCCUGUCUAGACCGAGGACUGCGUCCUUGACUAGGAAUGUUGGCAUAAUCUUAAGCCUC
rnacentral:rRNA from 1 species